rfam:Camelus ferus unplaced genomic scaffold scaffold439, whole genome shotgun sequence.
GUGGGUAUAGCUCAGUGGUAGAGUGCAUGUUUAACAUGUAUGAGGUUUUGGGUUCAAUCCCCAGUACCUCCA